rnacentral:rRNA from 1 species
CGGAUUGUAGUCUGCAACCCGACUACAUGAAGCUGGAAUCGCUAGUAAUCGCAGGUCAGCAUACUGCCGUGAAUACGUUCCCGGGCCUUGUACACACCGCCCGUCACACCAUGAGAGUUGGAAAUACCCGAAGCCUGUGAGCUAACAGUAAUGAGGCAGCAGUCGAAGGUAGAGCCAAUGAUUGGGGUGAAGUCGUAACAAGGUAUC